CCCAAAUCUUAAAGAACGAACCUUAAUCCCCAAUCCCUCUCAAUCCUCCUCACCAUCAGUCACGAGCUCCGCCCUCUAUUCAUAACAAUACCCCCGCUACAAUUGAGCAUUGUCCGCAAUGUUCAAAAUCAGAAAACUGGGACUUCAAGACGGUGUAAUCCUCCAAGUUGGCGUCUUCGGCUCCGAGAUUUGUUUACUGAAUCAGCAACUGAGUCGCCGCCUGAUUGUUUCUCUUAACAAUUCGUUUGUCCAAGACCAAAGCUGGGUAAACUCCCAACUAGUCAUCGUCUCCAAGUUCUGAUGGAUGUAGAGAGGGUCUAUAAAAGCAAACAUAUAGCUUCAGAUUCUUCCUCAAAGCCACUGUGGUGUGUAUUCAAUGCCAUCCGCUGCCUUGGUCACCAACUCCAAGAUUCGUUGCACAUGUCCAUGUGUUUCUUUAGUUCUUGAUUCCAAGAUCGAUAGUCUUUUCUCCAAGGAGUUCUUAUCUUCUGCCCAUCAAGAAGGUAAUUCUUCCUGGUUUUCAGAAGGUUAUUCUUGAAUAACAGUAGUAAUUGAUUCAUUACUAUCACCAUUUUUUGUUUCAUCUUCCUGGAUUUCCCCAUGGAUCAAUGUUUAGACUCUAGAUACCAAUUGUUAUGAUCGAGAAGAAUUGAGAUUUCAGAGAGUUGAGAAG